ensembl:lncRNA
UUUUUUUUUUUUUUUUUUUUUUUUAAUUGUGGUAUGAACUUACUGGCAUCAGGAAGGGAUAAAAGUAGACGGUUUUAAAAUCUUUCUCUUCAGAAAGUAGUUAGACCAUAACAGAAAUCUAAGAUGAAAAUGGUGUGGCUUAUUUAUAUUUCAAUACGAAUUUUCAAUGUGCUACAUGAUAGUUCAGUGUAAAAAAAUAUUGCUAUGGAUAUAACAGUCAUGAGCAUGCAAAUGAGCUUCAUAUCACUUGUUUUAGAUAUUAAAGUCUCUUUCCAGGCAGUGAUGUAGCUCAUGUUACACUCAGGUAAAACAUCUAAUAUGAACAAUGCAAGUCUUUUCCAUGUCUUAUCAGAUAAGCUUUUUGAUUUUUUAUAUAUUUAUCCCUACCUCACCAUACACAGGCAAGUGUAGGGUGUUAUUUGGAUGAAAUCAUUCAUGGAGAAGCAGCUGCAUUGUCAAAACCACAUCAAUAUAAAAGUCUUAAUGGAUUCCAGGAACUGGUCUGUAUAGUCUGUCUUACCCUCCUAAGUGGCUUUUAUUUCAGGCAGUUUGGUGCAGGGAUGAGGUUCUAGCCUCACCUGGAUACAACACAGCAAAAAUUAACAUUAUCUUGUUCCCUGUGAUACGCUACAAGGAGGAAACAGAACUGAGUUGGCAGUGUAAGUGCAGUUUCAUUUAUGGAUUGAGACUGUGGCCAUGCCAUAACAUGAAAACCAAUAGAUUUGACCUUUUAUGCCCUCAAGUUCAAAUGUACAUUGGAAGCUACCUUUUCUAUGCUACUGGUAGGAAAGAAGUCCUGCCUUAAACACAUUGGUUGAGUGUUGAGCUUGUUACAUUGUGGCAUGUCCUUGCUUUGAACAUCUUUAAAUUGGUUCUGUGCCGCUGAAACUGCUAAGAGAUAAAGAUGGUUUGAUGUUUUUAACUGUUGCAUGUUAAACUUUGUAGUAAAUCAAAGUCCUGGCUGCAAUUUAGAGACAAGUCAUGAGCUAGCCAUAGAGGUCAAAGACUGCAUUCCUAAGACAGAAGGAUGGGGAAAGGGAAUCAAUGAAUUAAUUCACAAUCCAGGACUUCAAUUUUUUCUGCCUUCUUGUACAGGUGAUGCAAAGUCCGUUUUUUUAAAUCUGUUUGUGAAACAGCUGAAAAAAAUGCUCAUAGUCCUUACCAAUGCGGAAUGCAUAGCAAAAGGAAAUACAAAUGCUAUUUUUUGCCUUGUGUUGUAUUUAUGUGUUUAAAGUUCCAGAUAAAAUCUACAUGAAGCCACAGCAUUGACAUGAAAAGGCUUUAGGCACCUGGCCUGAGUCAAAUGUCCCUUUCUUCAGAAGUGUCUUGGGUGUUUCAUUACUGUUACUAGAACAGUAAUAUGGGAAUGAGCUUUCAAUUACAAGCCUGCAUUUGGGGCUCAGAAUGCUGACAAUUCAGUCAUACAACGAAGCCGUGGCAUUAAACAUGUUCUUUGUGCCCUGCUUUGGCAGCAAUUCCCCAGAAAUGAACAACAGGGAUUUUCAGCAGGUCCCACUGCCCCAGCCUCAGCAAUCCAAAACUGAGUCAGCAGCACCUCUUGCUAUGAUCCUGCUCAACCUGAGGCAGCUCUCCAACCUGCUGAGAUGAGCACGUUGCCUCUCCGUCCUUCAGUCUCAGGCACCUUCAUCCAAGGGUCUCCUCUGACGUGGAGCCAAGCCAGCUGCACUGAGCCUGGGCUUGGUAGUGUCCCAGAAGCUCUGAGGCAGGUGCAAAGGUUUUGCUUUCAGCAUCUGAAAACUCUUGUCAAUCCUCAGCUGAGUAUUUAGGGUGCUGCUUCAAAAUGGCUAUGUGCACGUGAUGUUAACGCUUUGUAGGAGUGCUGAUCCCUUGCAGCGUUUGUGAGUUGGACUGACUGCCUUUGAAGUUGUUCUUUGGACAGUUCUGAACUUUGAGAACUGCAUUGUGGGCCAUUGCUUCUUGGACUUUAACAUUCUUCAUAUAACUUUUUUAGAGCUUUUUAAAUUAUACUUCAGGGCUGUCUGGGUGAAACUAUCAGGCCUUGUCAGUUUUUUCCUCGCUUCCUCUCAUUUGUAUCAAAUCUCCAAAUAAUGCAAAGAACUUCCCUAAACUGAGAUGCAUUGAGAAUCCCUUCUCACCUUCUGCCUGUACUUCAGUACUUAUCUCUUGCUUUCAAAACUACCAGAUUUUCCUACAGCUUGUGGCUCCUCAGCCCUGAGGUUCAGCUGUAUCCAUAAAGGGAUGACAGGCACCUGGGAGGAGUGAGUCAAAUGAAAGGAAGUCAAAUGCUUGGUAUAGAUGAGUAAACAGUCCUAUUGGGGAAUUCAGGAAGGAGCUGGAAGGCCAAGGAUUGACAAUAACCUUUUUGGUUUCUGAAAAAAUAUUGUUAGAUGGGGGAGGGGGAAGGAGAGGAAGAGGGGAAGGGCAUGCUAGUAAAAAGAAUUGUGAGUACAAGUGGAAGGAAGAGAGAGUAUUACUGGAUGUCAGAGCUUACCUCCUACUCUGGGACUGCAGAUACACAUAUUUCUAUCCCAAGCCGUAUUCUGUCAGUCUUGAUAUUUGCCGACCAAAACCCAAAACUUUUCCAUUAUUGUAAUACCAGUGUUCCUGCUCAUGGCUGAUAAGCCCAAGAUUUUUGACCCUGAAUCAUCAACAGAAACUUUUGUCUCAGGACUGAAUACAUGCUCAUGUAUUCAGGGACUAGAGGAAAGAAACUACAUGGACAUAGGGUCAAAAAGCUAUUAAUUAUAUCAGUAGUUUCUUUCUUAUUUUUUCUUCAUGAUUGCUUUACAUUGCUUGUUGAAAAAUAGAAUACAGCUCCAAAGAACAGAAACAGAUUUGCAAAAAUUAUUUGUUAGGGUUGAUUUCUGCUAAAAAAGAAACAAAACCAAAACCAAACCAAACAAAAAAAAAAACAAACACAACCAACCAAAAAAAAAA